rnacentral:rRNA from 1 species
UACGGGGGGGGCAAGCGUUGUUCGGAAUUACUGGGCGUAAAGCGCACGUAGGCGGCUUUGUAAGUUAGAGGUGAAAGCCCGGGGCUCAACCCCGGAAUUGCCUUUAAGACUGCAUCGCUUGAAUCCGGGAGAGGUGAGUGGAAUUCCGAGUGUAGAGGUGAAAUUCGUAGAUAUUCGGAAGAACACCAGUGGCGAAGGCGGCUCACUGGACCGGUAUUGACGCUGAGGUGCGAAAGCGUGGGGAGCAAACAGG